rnacentral:lncRNA from 1 species
AUCUAAGAUUUUAUAGAAAAAUAAGUUCUUUCUUUUGCAUUCUUCUUCAUGAGACCUUAUAGUGGCACCUCUACAUGCCAUAAGAGCAUCUCAUUAAAUGGGAGGAGAGGGUCAUGUAAUGCUACUUGCUUCUAUGAUCGGACUGUCUGAUGAUUACCCAAUCCGAAUACUUUGCUACUCAGAUCAUCUAAUCUAACAUAUACAGGGC